rnacentral:rRNA from 1 species
CCUACGGGAGGCAGCAGUGAGGAAUAUUGGUCAAUGGACGAGAGUCUGAACCAGCCAAGUAGCGUGAAGGAUGACUGCCCUAUGGGUUGUAAACUUCUUUUAUAUGGGAAUAAAAUGUUCCACGUGUGGGAUUUUGUAUGUACCAUAUGAAUAAGGAUCGGCUAACUCCGUGCCAGCAGCCGCGGUAAUACGGAGGAUCCGAGCGUUAUCCGGAUUUAUUGGGGUUAAAGGGAGCGUAGGUGGAUUGUUAAGUCAGUUGUGAAAGUUUGCGGCUCAACCGUAAAAUUGCAGUUGAAACUGGCAGUCUGGAGUACAGUAGAGGUGGGCGGAAUUCGUGGUGUAGCGGUGAAAUGCUUAGAUAUCACGAAGAACUCCGAUUGCGAAGGCAGCUCACUGGACUGCAACUGACACUGAGGCUCGAAAGUGUGGGUAUCAAACAGGAUUAGAUACCCCUGUAGUC